rnacentral:rRNA from 1 species
AUAUCAAUAAGCGGAGGAAAAGAAACCAACAGGGAUUGCCCUAGUAACGGCGAGUGAAGCGGCAACAGCUCAAAUUUGAAAUCUGGCGCAAGCCCGAGUUGUAAUUUGUAGAGGAUGCUUCUGGGCAGCGGCCGGUCUAAGUUCCUUGGAACAGGACGUCAUAGAGGGUGAGAAUCCCGUAUGCGACCGGCUGGCACCCUUUUCGUAGCUCCUUCGACGAGUCGAGUUGUUUGGGAAUGCAGCUCUAAAUGGGAGGUAAAUUUCUCCUAAAGCUAAAUACCGGCCAGAGACCGAUAGCGCACAAGUAGAGUGAUCGAAAGAUGAAAAGCACUUUGGAAAGAGAGUUAAAAAGCACGUGAAAUUGUUGAAAGGGAAGCGCUUGCAACCAGACUUGUCGGCGGUGUUCCGCCGGUCUUCUGACCGGUCUAUUCGCCGCCCGCAGGCCAGCAUCGUCUGGGACCGCCGGAGAAAGGCUUGGGGAAUGUGGCUCCUCCGGGAGUGUUAUAGCCCCUCGCACAAUACGGCGCGCCCCGGGCGAGGUCCGCGCUUCGGCUAGGAUGCUGGCGUAAUGGUUGUAAGCGG